rnacentral:rRNA from 1 species
GACGAACGCUGGCGGCGUGCUUAACACAUGCAAGUCGAACGGAAAGGCCCUGCUUUUGUGGGGUGCUCGAGUGGCGAACGGGUGAGUAACACGUGAGUAACCUGCCCUUGACUUUGGGAUAACUUCAGGAAACUGGGGCUAAUACCGGAUAGGAGCUCCUGCUGCAUGGUGUGGGGUGGAAAGUUUCGGCGGUUGGGGAUGGACUCGCGGCUUAUCAGCUUGUUGGUGGGGUAGUGGCUUACCAAGGCUUUGACGGGUAGCCGGCCUGAGAGGGUGACCGGCCACAUUGGGACUGAGAUACGGCCCAGACUCCUACGGGAGGCAGCAGUGGGGAAUAUUGCACAAUGGGCGGAAGCCUGAUGCAGCAACGCCGCGUGCGGGAUGACGGCCUUCGGGUUGUAAACCGCUUUCGCCUGUGACGAAGCGUGAGUGACGGUAAUGGGUAAAGAAGCACCGGCUAACUACGUG